CGCAACAUUACAGAGAAGAUUAGCAUGGCCCCUGCGCAAGGAUGACACGCAAAAUCGUGAAGCGUGAUAAUUAUUC